rnacentral:lncRNA from 1 species
CUAAUUUUUGUUGAUGGAGCCACCGAUGGUACUGCAGCAGCUCCGUCUUCUCCUGCCGCCCCAUCUUCAGCGGACGGCAUUUCAGAGAGCAUUGUCGGAGCCGACAAUGCUAAGACUGGUUCAGGAAUCCUCUCCAACAGGAUGUCAGAUUUCCUCGCCAGUGUAGUUACCCGACCCUUCUUCGACGGUUCGGAGGGUCCAGCUUCAGAUACUGUCUUCUUCUUGACAACAUGCUGACGAAUAUCAGCAGCGAACACUCGUACCCUUGGCUGCAUAGCUGCAAUCAGAACAAAGAAAUC